AGUGAACGCUGGCGGUAGGCCUAACACAUGCAAGUCGAACGGCAGCACAGUAAGAGCUUGCUCUUACGGGUGGCGAGUGGCGGACGGGUGAGGAAUACAUCGGAAUCUACUUUUUCGUGGGGGAUAACGUAGGGAAACUUACGCUAAUACCGCAUACGACCUACGGGUGAAAGCAGGGGAUCUUCGGACCUUGCGCGAUUGUAUGAGCCGAUGUCGGAUUAGCUAGUUGGCGGGGUAACGGCCCACCAAGGCGACGCUCCGUAGCUGGUCUGAGAGGAUGAUCAGCCACCCUGCAACUGCGGCACGGUCCAGCCUCCUACGGGAGGCAGCAGUGGGGAAUAUUGGAGAAUGGGGGCAAGCCUGAUCAAGCCAUACCGCGUGGGUGAAGAAGGCCUUCGUGUUGUAAAGCCCUUUUGUUGGGAAAGAAAAGCAGCAGGUUAAUACCCCGCUGUUCUGACGGUACCCAAAGAAUAAGCACCGGCUAACUUCGUG
rnacentral:rRNA from 1 species